rnacentral:rRNA from 1 species
AUUGAACGCUGGCGGCAGGCCUAACACAUGCAAGUCGAGCGGCAGCGGGAAAGUAGCUUGCUACUUUUGCCGGCGAGCGGCGGACGGGUGAGUAAUGCCUGGGGAUCUGCCCAGUCGAGGGGGAUAACUACUGGAAACGGUAGCUAAUACGCAUACGCCCUACGGGGGAAAGCAGGGGACCUUCGGGCCUUGCGCGAUUGGAUGAACCCAGGUGGGAUUAGCUAGUUGGUGAGGUAACGGCUCACCAAGGCGACGAUCCCUAGCUGGUCUGGGAGGAUGAUCAGCCACACUGGAACUGGGACACGGUCCAGACUCCUACGGGAGGCAGCAGUGGGGAAUAUUGCACAAUGGGGGAAACCCUGAUGCAGCCAUGCCGCGUGUGUGAAGAAGGCCUUCGGGUUGUAAAGCACUUUCAGCGAGGAGGAAAGGUUGGUAGCUAAUAACUGCCAGCUGUGACGUUACUCGCAGAAGAAGCACCGGCUAACUCCGUGCCAGCCGCCGCCGUAAGAC